rnacentral:lncRNA from 1 species
GACUAGAAAUUAUGAUCUCAUGUAGAUGAAGAGCAUUUGUAUAUAUAUAUAUCCUUUGUAGAUGCAUAAGACAUUUCUGGAAGAAUAAGAAACUUGCUAAUAAUGACUACCUCUGGGAAAAGAAUUGGUGUCCAAGUUAGGAGAAAUAUUUUAUAUACCAUUUUGAACUGUUUGAAUAUUUUACCAGGUACAUGUGGUACUUUGUUUUUUUAAUUAAAAGAAGAUCACAAAAAAUUAGGAAGCUUUUUCCAACUAAACAUUAUUGACAAGUUUAAUGAUACUUAUGAUCAAGCUAGUUUUUCAAGAUGCAUUUUUGAAAAGCAUUUUUUUUUAAACAAGUAUUCAAGAUGCAUCUUUUCUAGGCUUUUUUCUUUUCAAGUAACGGAGAAGUAACUU